UGAAGAGGCAGAGGCAUGAGUGAGGAGUCACCAUAAAGAAUUCAUUAACAACAAAAAAUAUUUUUAAUUAUGUUUGUGGUUAUGUACUGCCUUGGAAGGAAACCCUAAUAUUUAUGUGACUCUCAAAACAAACACCGAAGCUGAAGAGAUGAGGCCCCCGCGCACAGCUCUGCCAGGUGCUGGGUUGUGAGCUGAGAACACCUGUGAGGCGGCGCCGCCCUGAGGGGACGGGCGGUAACGGCCGGGAGGGGCGCGUGCCCCCGAGAUGACCCCGGUCGCGCGACCUUCAGUUGGAAAGGGCGCGAACGGUGAGGCGGGAAGCGAAAGCGGCGGGAAGGGAAAACGGCGGGAAGGGAGAGCCGCGUUUUGCGCUCCUAUUGGCUGGCGGGCGGCGGGGACACCUAUAUAAGGCGUGCGGGGGAAGGCGAUCUCCUCACAGCGUAACAGGAAUCACGGUGCUCCGAGGGAGAGGCGGCAAGUGGCAUCCCGGGCUGAGAAACUGCUGGAAGAGAAACAGUUGACAGUGGAAGCCUGGAUGACAAA